CAGCAGAUGACGAAAACCCCGAGCAGGAUAGUUAGAGUGAUGGCUCCCUUCAUGCUAGUGGCUUGUCGGCGACUCUUAUGGAGAGCCAUGAUGCGUCUGGAGUGGACGUGCGCCAGGAUGAACAUGUGCAGAUGCUGUGAAGAGGUGGAGACUCUGAAAUGGAUGCAGCAGUGGCAGAACACCUGAAGCUUGCUCCAGGAAGAGCGAUCCUCCGAAGAUCCAAGUCUCCAUCGUGAUUGUGUGUGGUACGCCUCCCUCCUCUGACGUCUUCACCCAGCUAUCGCGGACCCAUUCAUCACUCUACCCAGCACUACCCGCUCCCCUGCUUGUGCCUUCAAUAAAACCAUCUAUUACUCCUCAGCCUCUCGUGUAUUCUGUAACAGAAGACCGGACCAACACCGCUUGGCACAAGCAUGAGCCUCACGGACCCCUUCCAAGAUCUGGUCGAUGCACUCCGUAGGACACUCACAGCUCAACUUGCAUCCCCAAAACCAGCGAGCACUUCCGUCAACGAUGCCAGCACUUCCUCACCUUCCGUUCAUGCCAGUCCCAUGGCCAGGCCGGCGCCCUACUCUGGUUCGGCGGAGGAGCACAGCAGAUUCCUCCUUCAAUGCUCGCUGGUCCUGGAGAUGCAACUGCACUUAUAUCCCACCGAGAGAUCCAAUGUAGCAUUUAUAAUUUCUCAACUGCAAGGUAAAGCACUACUGUGGGCAGAUUCUAUAUGGACUCAAAAUAACCCAAUUAUCCAGUCUUAUUCAAGCUUCAUUGACCAUUUCCGAGAAAUAUUUGGCAGACCAGCUUGGGACUCGUCAAUUGGUGAGAAGAUGUAUAAUCUCAAACAGGGAAAAAUGUCUGUCAAUGAAUAUGCCCUUCAGUUGACUCUAGCGGCCUCCAGUGGAUGGAACGAACAGGCUUUACUGACUACCUACCGUCAGGGAUUGGAACAUCGAGUGUGGUUGCAUCUCGCUGCAUAUGAGGACACCAUCGGGCUUGAACGGUUCAUCCAGCUUUCCAUCCACUUCUCCACCCGCAUGCAGUUGUGCUUAGAAUAGCACCAGGGCCAGGCGUAUUCCACCACGCCACUCUGCUGACCAGAGGCCAUCAGCUCCCCAGAACCAGCCAACGAACCCAUGCUAGUGGACUCAUAUUGACUCUCAAUGGCUGAAAGACAAAGACGGCUGGCCCAGAAUCUUUGCCUCUACUGUGCAGCCCUGGGGCAUGCCAUCACUGCAUCCCCCAUCCGUUCUCCUCAUCCCAUGUUCAGUUCAGAAGGCCAUGGAGGAAUACAUCAAGGAGGCGCUGACCCAGGGUUACAUUCGUCCUUCUACCUCCCCUGCUGCUUCGAGCUUCUUCUUUGUGGAAAAGAAGGACCAAGGCUUGAGACCCUGUAUCGAUUAUCGGGCUCUCAACAACAUAACCGUCAAAUUCAGAUAUCCAUUUCCCCUCGUCCCAGCUGCCUUGGAACAUCUCUGUGGUGCCACUGUUUUAACCAAGUUGGACCUCCGCAGCACCUAUUUCCUCAUCCGGAUAUGAGAGGAGGACGAGUGGAAAACUGCCUUCAUAACCCCUACUGGCCACUAUGAGUAUUGUGUGAUGCCGUAUGGACUUGUUAACGCUCCCUCCGUCUUCCAGGAUUUUAUUCACCAGGUGUUCUCCGGGUGUUCCUCCAUAAGUUCUUCCACAUCUACAUUGAUAUCCUCAUAUACUCCCGGAGCCAACAGAACAUCGACGCCACGUUGCGGAGGUCCUGCAACACCUGAGGGCCUUUCAGCUCUGCCUCAAGGCCGAAAAAUGCUCUUUCCAUCAGCCCUCAGUGCAGUUCCUUGGGUACAACAUCAGCAGCAGUGGCAUCCGGAUGGACGAGAGGAAGGUUAAUGCCGUCAGAGAUUGGCCCACUCCUACCACCAUCAAAGAACUACAACGAUUCCUUGGCUUUGCCAAUUUCUAUAGACGGUUCAUCCAAAACUUCAGUACCAUCACCAGCCCUCUCACCAGUCUCCUCCGUAACAAACCAAACUCACUCUUUUGGACUCCUGCCGCCACAGAGGCCUUCCACACCCUCAAAUAGGCCUUUACGUCCGCUCCACUCCUGGUCCAUCCUGACCCCGACGGACCCUUUGUCGUGGAAGUCGACGCCUCAACUACCGGAGUAGGAGCGGUCCUAUCUCAGCAGCAGGGGAACCCCAGUCGCCUCCACCCAUGCGGCUUCUUCUCCCGGAAGCUCAACUCAGCGGAGGAAAACUAUGACAUCAGCAACCAGGAGCUGUUGGCCAUCAAGUUGGCCCUGGAAGAAUGGAGGCAUUGGCUGGAGGGAGCCAAACACCCCUUUCUGGUUCUCACGCAUCACAAAAAUCUGGAGUAUCUUUGAGUUGCCAAGAUGUUAAACCCGAGACAAGCCCGCUGGGCGCUAUUCUUCACCCGCUUCCACUUUACCAUCUCUUAUCACCCAGGGUUAAGAACGUAAAGGCUGACGCCCGGUCCCAGUGUCACGCCCCAGAAGAGAAUCUCGAAGAACCCGAAUCCAUUCUCCCUGAAAAGGGCAUCGUCUGCCCCAUUACCUGAUCCACCAAGACCCUUCCUCCAACCGAUCCUGCUAUAAACACCCCACCGGUUUGCCCACCGGGACAUCAGUACAUUCCCAGGACACGGCACACUCCACUCAUUCACUCAACUCACACAUAUCUUGGCACUGGUCUCCCGGGGGUCAAUGAAACCCUCUCGUUGCUUAAAGAACGCUUCUGGUGACCCAACAUGGCCUCGGAUGUCAGUAGGUACUUCGGCAUCCCAGAGGAUAUCAUCUCGGACCGAGGUCCUCAGUUCAUCUCCCGGGUAUGGAAGGCUUUCCACUCACUCCUAGGUGUGGCCAUCAGCCUGUCCUCCGGAUACCAUACCCAGUCGAACGGGCAGACGGAGAGGAAGGUCCAGGAGAUUGGACGCUUCCUCCGUACCUUCUGUCAUGGCCAGCAGAACUCCUGGAACAAGUUCCUUGGGUGGGCUGAGUACGCACAAAACUCCCUUCGACAACCUACCACCGGACUCACUCCAUUCCAGUACGUACUCGGCUACCAACCUCCUCUAUUCCCCUGGUCACCAUCGACUACUGGUUCCGGGAGAGAUAGAGGGUCUGGGACGCGGCACACCACCAACUCCAGCGGGCCUUAGGCAGACGUAGAAUGACAGCCUACAUUCGCCGAUCUGAGGCCCCAACUUACCAACCCGGUCAGAAGGUCUGGCUGUCCACCCGGGACAUCCGCCUGCACCUGCCCUGCCGCAAGCUAAGUCCCAGAUUCAUUGGCCCAUUCACCAUACUUCAGCACAUCGAUUGCAAAGUGGUUGUUCAAAAGGAUGAAGCUGAAGCAGAGCUUCAGAGAUGCAUAUGGCAGUUUAUGUCUUAAAGGAAGAUGAGGAUCCUCUCCAGCCACCACAUCUCAUUGGAAUCGUUGUUGACUACAUCUACAUUCUAAAUAGAGAACCCAAGAAAAUGGUACGCAGACUGUUCAGUCUGAGUGUCGAUCUCUAAAUACUGGAGUAAUCAAAGACAUUUGGAUACAGGAUGUGUUCUAUUGCAUUAGAUCUUGUAUUCAAAUAUAUUACAUGAUUAAUCGAAGGCAGCAUUGUUAAA